AAUAUCAUAUUCACCUGAGUACACUACACCAACACAGAAAAAAAAAAAAAAAUUCAUAUUACUAGAAUACAUUGGUAUCGAAGGAACUAGAUUCUGUUCCGAAAUAUCACUUACUCGAACCGUCCUGACCGCGUAGCUCAGUUGGAAGAGCAUUGGGCUAGUAUUCCAAAGGUCGUAGGUUCGAAUCCCACCGUGGUCGGGC